AUUUUAGGACAUCCUCAGACUCAGGUGUCAGACUCAGAAAAACAUCUGUCAUUUUCAGACAAAACUGCCUCAGCGUCAGAAAAACCUCUGUCAUCCUCAGAUAAAACUGCGUCAAACCAAACGGCCUCUGAAAAACAUCUCUAAGGAGUCAGGUCUCAGAAAAAAUGCUGUCAGAAAAAGUGGAAUCAGUUCUCAUAAAAAACGCUGUCAGAAAAAGUGGAGUCAGGUCUCCGAAAAUCAGGGGAAAGAAGACGACGACAGAUACAGAACGUGGAACGAUUGCUAAGAAUCAUCCAAGAAAGUGGAGAUGGAGCCAUCAGAGCAGUUUGCAUUGCACUUAAAGUCCCCAUGUUCAGCCCUGCAGAACUUGCCUUCUUGGCUGAAUAUGCUGCUACCAUGAGCCCUAUCGCCAAGGCACUGAACAUAAUGCAGACAGAGGUGAAUGUCCAUAUGGGAUGGCUGGUGCCCACUGUAACCCUCCUAAUUGUGAAG